ACUUAAUUGGAUAAACUACACUAUGUUGUACAUCAUUGGUGAGAGGAAACAAUUGGGAAAAAGGAACAAAAGUUGCAUAACUUUGUGGCUCACAAGCUGCUCGUCAAAUAUAGUGAAGUUUGUUGAUUUAUUCAAAUGUAGGUACAUCUAUAGUGUGCAAGGAGCUAGUGUUAAAACAACACAUGAUGUGUCCUGAACAAGUAGGAAUGUACAGCACAGCUACCUAAAGGAUAGAUAAGGUGAAAAUUAAAAUAGCAAUGCUAUAUCAACUGUGCAAACUUAAAGUGGGUUUUCUUUUUCAGGGGGCACCCAAGCCAAUCGCCAUUGAACCUUGUGCUGGGAACAGAGCUGCUGUUCUGACUGUGUUUCUUUGUCUACCACGAGGAUCAUCAGGUGCCCCUCCCCCUGGGCAGUCAGGCCUUGCAAUUGCCAGUGCCCUAAUAGAUAUUUCACAACAGAAAGCUUCAGAUAGUAAAGAUAAGACUUCUGGAGUCCGGAAUCGAAAACACCUUUCAACACGUCAAGGAACUUGUGUCUGAGAAAUGGAAACCGCUCCUGUAUAUUCUGUACUGUUUUACUCUGGGCUUCUGUAACGCUGUUCUAUGGCCUCGGAUUUUAUGGAGGCAAAUCUCUGCAUCAUCCCGAGCCUGAGUACAGUUUCCUUCCAAAUGGGCAGUGACCCAGGUGGCCAAAGACUGUUCAUGAGUUUUAUAAAAGUAUUGAUGGUCACAGGUGAUAAAGUCCGUU
rnacentral:lncRNA from 1 species